rnacentral:rRNA from 1 species
GAUGAACGCUGGCGGCGUGCCUAAUACAUGCAAGUCGAGCGAACAGAUGAGGAGCUUGCUCCUCUGACGUUAGCGGCGGACGGGUGAGUAACACGUGGAUAACCUACCUAUAAGACUGGGAUAACUUCGGGAAACCGGAGCUAAUACCGGAUAAUAUAUUGAACCGCAUGGUUCAAUAGUGAAAGACGGUUUUGCUGUCACUUAUAGAUGGAUCCGCGCCGCAUUAGCUAGUUGGUAAGGUAACGGCUUCCCAAGGCAACGAUGCGUAGCCGACCUGAGAGGGUGAUCGGCCACACUGGAACUGAGACACGGUCCAGACUCCUACGGGAGGCAGCAGUAGGGAAUCUUCCGCAAUGGGCGAAAGCUUGACGGAGCAACGCCGCGUGAGUGAUGAAGGUCUUCGGAUCGUAAAACUCUGUUAUUAGGGAAGAACAAAUGUGUAAGUAACUAUGCACGUCUUGACGGUACCUAAUCAGAAAGCCACGGCUAACUACGUG